rnacentral:rRNA from 1 species
AUUCAGCGGCGGACGGGUGAGUAAUGCCUAGGAAUCUGCCUGGUAGUGGGGGACAACGUUUCGAAAGGAACGCUAAUACCGCAUACGUCCUACGGGAGAAAGCAGGGGACCUUCGGGCCUUGCGCUAUCAGAUGAGCCUAGGUCGGAUUAGCUUGUUGGUGAGGUAAUGGCUCACCAAGGCGACGAUCCGUAACUGGUCUGAGAGGAUGAUCAGUCACACUGGAACUGAGACACGGUCCAGACUCCUACGGGAGGCAGCAGUGGGGAAUAUUGGACAAUGGGCGAAAGCCUGAUCCAGCCAUGCCGCGUGUGUGAAGAAGGUCUUCGGAUUGUAAAGCACUUUAAGUUGGGAGGAAGGGUUGUAGAUUAAUACUCUGCAAUUUUGACGUUACCGACAGAAUAAGCACCGGCUAACUCUGUGCCAGCAGCCGCGGUAAUACAGAGGGUGCAAGCGUUAAUCGGAAUUACUGGGCGUAAAGCGCGCGUAGGUGGUUUGUUAAGUUGGAUGUGAAAGCCCCGGGCUCAACCUGGGAACUGCAUCCAAAACUGGCAAGCUAGAGUACGGUAGAGGGUGGUGGAAUUUCCUGUGUAGCGGUGAAAUGCGUAGAUAUAGGAAGGAACACCAGUGGCGAAGGCGACCACCUGGACUGAUACUGACACUGAGGUGCGAAAGCGUGGGGAGCAAACAGGAUUAGAUACCCUGGUAGUCCACGCCGUAAACGAUGUCAACUAGCCGUUGGAAUCCUUGAGAUUUUAGUGGCGCAGCUAACGCAUUAAGUUGACCGCCUGGGGAGUACGGCCGCAAGGUUAAAACUCAAAUGAAUUGACGGGGGCCCGCACAAGUGGUGGAGCAUGUGGUUUAAUUCGAAGCAACGCGAAGAACCUUACCAGGCCUUGACAUGCAGAGAACUUUCCAGAGAUGGAUUGGUGCCUUCGGGAACUCUGACACA